rnacentral:rRNA from 1 species
UACGAAGGGGGCUAGCGUUGCUCGGAAUCACUGGGCGUAAAGCGCACGUAGGCGGCUUAUUAAGUCAGGGGUGAAAUCCUGGAGCUCAACUCCAGAACUGCCUUUGAUACUGAUGAGCUUGAGUCCGGGAGAGGUGAGUGGAACUGCGAGUGUAGAGGUGAAAUUCGUAGAUAUUCGGAGGAACACCAGUGGCGAAGGCGGCUCACUGGUCCAUUACUGACGCUGAGGUGCGAAAGCGUCGGGAGCAAACAGG